rnacentral:rRNA from 1 species
CCUACGGGAGGCAGCAGUGGGGAAUGUUGCGCAAUGAUCGUAAGAGUGACGCAGCGACGCCGCGUGAAUGACGAAGGCCUGCGGGUCGUAAAGUUCUGUCGACAGGGAAGAAAAUGCAGAUAAGUAACUGUGUAUGUAUUGACGGUACCGGUAGAAGCAGCCCCGGCUAACUCCGUGCCAGCAGCCGCGGUAAUACGGAGGGGGCGAGCGUUGUUCGGAGUGACUGGGCGUAAAGAGCACGUAGGCGGUGUGGUAAGUCAUUAGUCAAAGGCUAGAGCUCAACUUUAGUAAGGCGAGUGAUCCUCUCAUACUUGAGUAUCAGAGCGGAUUGCUGAAUUCCUGGUGUAGCGG